CAUAAAAAAAAUUGAGUUGGGACAUGGAGAUUGGAAUAAUGAGAUCUAGCCACACAAUAUAGAGAAGAAUACAGUAAUAAUUAUUCAUUAGAUUACAAAAGGAAAUCAAAACAAAAUCUUUAUUUGAACACCACAACUUGACAAACUCAAAAACUCUAAUGUCGAUUGUUGUGGAAGUGGAACUCCAUCCAUUCUUCUUUGUGCAAGUUUACAUAGAGUGGACCAAUUCUUCAUCAAUAUCAUCAUCCAAUUCUUCAGCAUCUUCUUCUGCAAUAGUUUCCAAUCGAGGAAAAAGUGAAACUUUCCUCAGAGGAAUCACUGGAGAGGGCGCAAACUCCACAACACACGACGCCAAGAACAAGUACUUGAUUUCAUUUGCCAUGCCACUUUAUGAUAUGUACUACCUUGGACAGAAGUGCGUGCUACAAUAGAGACCCAAUGAAGGUGUUUGAUGAAAUUUGAUGUUGUAUGUUCUCUUUAAUUUGCUGUUAUGCUAGUAGGAUUGUCUUUCCCCUUUAUAUAUAAGGGUGUUGUUAUCAUAAUGAAGAAUAAUAAUAAUUAUUAUUUAUUAGUAGUAAAUUAGGCACAGUCAAGUAUUCUAAGUGGGAAACGCACGUGAAAAGUAUUUGUAUUCUUGUGAUUGUAGUGUAGACAUACUUAGCUUCUUGGAAAUAAUGGCCAAUUGAGACAUUACAUCAAUAACACCCACCAAGAAGAUGCAGGAUCACAAAUUUUAAUGUCUAGAUGCACUUAACAUUUCCAUUGCUAAUAUGCCAAAACGUGUUUCUUGUGAUAAGGUAGAGGUACCUCAUGAUAAUGCACCUAUAUGAUUUAUAAUAGAAUAAUCUUUAUUUUGUUUUAUGUUCAACACUACUCAUCCUAAAGUUUCGGUGCCUAUCUAAAAAGUAGAAAGGAUAGUCUCGUCUUUUCUCUUGUUGAAUAAAGUAUAUUAAAGCCUAAAGCUACGGACGCGAGAAAUUAGAGUAAAAGAAUCAACAAAAAUCAGUAGAGAUUCGAAGACAGAUUUGGUACCAUCUCGAGUGUGAACCCCAUUAAACAAUUGAAGAAUAUAUCCAGAGACGACAACACACAAAAUUGCCACCGACAGUUACUAUGUUCACGCGAUUCCAGUCUACAUCAAAAUUGUUUCAUUUGUGUCUCUGUUUUUUUUUUUUUUAACUGCAUACUACCGGAUCUUAAUUAAUAUUAUCGAUAAAUAAAUAGAGAUGAAGAUUGAAUUUUGUUAAAACCACAGGAAAAACUGCAGUUUCAUUUCAUAAAUAAUCAGCAACAGCAACUAUGUUGUGCCGAAUGAUGGAUUACAAAGAAAGAGAAAAACUAGAUAAUAUUUACAGAAUUAAUUGACAUGGAAUUGAAGCUUCUCACGGAUGGAAGAAGAGAUGAGAGAGUUAUUAUUGGAUUGCUACUUGAAUUCAUUUAUAUAGCUUGUUUUGAUGACGGUCAUAACCCUCAGCAGCUUCUUCUUCAGCAAUUGUCUCCAAUCUGGGCGAAUUGGAUGGCUUGGUUGGGAAGAUCACCGGUGCCGGAGCAACCUCCAUCCAACAACUUAGGUUUCUGAUUCCCUUUGCCAUUACUUUCUCUCCUCCUCCUAUGCUUAGCUUAGAAAGAAGAGAGACUUUUUCUUAUAUAUAUGUUUCUUUUUCAACUACUUCCUUACUAAUUCAUUAAGGAAACAAACUCGGUUAUGCGAUCCCUAUUCUUAUUGUUAUUGUUAUGUUCCAAGCAACUUCUGCUGUCUCAAUAUAUAUAUACCUAUAUAUGAAA